rnacentral:rRNA from 1 species
UACGUAGGUGGCGAGCGUUGUCCGGAUUUACUGGGCGUAAAGCGCGCGCAGGCGGUUCUGUAAGUCCUGGGUGAAAUCGCCCCGGCUCAACUGGGCGGGGGCCUGGGGGACUGCGGGACUGGAGGGGCCUAGAGGCCCGGUGGAACUCCCGGUGUAGUGGUGAAAUGCGUAGAGAUCGGGAAGAACACCAGUGGCGAAGGCGGCCGGCUGGGGGCGCCCUGACGCUGAGGCGCGAGAGCGUGGGGAGCGAACCGG